GUCCGUUUGAAGUUAUAAAAGGUCUGGCCUGCUCACUGAUAGUCAAUUAUUUAAGAGCCGCGGUAAUUUGACCGUGCAAAGGUAGCAUAAUCAUUAGUUUUUUAAUUGGAAGCUUGUAUGAAUGGUCGGACAAAUAGAAGCUGUCUCUGUUGUAAAGAUUGAAGUUAACUUUUAAGUGAAAAGGCUUAAAUGUUUCAGGGGGACGAUAAGACCCUAUAAAGCUUUAUAUGUUAGUUGGACUUGAUUGAAUUAUUAUAUAAAGAUUUGGUUUAAUUGUUAUAUUUUAUUGGGGCGAUAUAGGUAUUAUUUUUAUUAACUGUUUAAUAUUAAUACAUUAAUAAAUGAGAUUUAGUAAUUGAUCCUUUUUAAAGAUUAAAAGACUAAGUUACUUUAGGGAUAACAGCGUAAUUUCUUUUGAGAGUCCUUAUCGAAAAAGAAGUUUGCGACCUCGAUGUUGAAUUAAAAUGUCUAUAUAAUGCAGCCGUUAUAAGAGAAGGUCUGUUCGACCUUUAAAUUUUU
rnacentral:rRNA from 1 species